AGUGAACGCUGGCGGUAGGCCUAACACAUGCAAGUCGAACGGCAGCACAGGAGAGCUUGCUCUCUGGAUGGCGAGUGGCGGACGGGUGAGGAAUACAUCGGAAUCUACUUUUUCGUGGGGGAUAACGUAGGGAAACUUACGCUAAUACCGCAUACGACCUACGGGUGAAAGCAGGGGACCUCCGGGCCUUGCGCGAUUGAAUGAGCCGAUGUCGGAUUAGCUAGUUGGCGGGGUAAAGGCCCACCAAGGCGACGAUCCGUAGCUGGUCUGAGAGGAUGAUCAGCCACACUGGAACUGAGACACGGUCCAGACUCCUACGGGAGGAAGCAGUGGGGAACAUUGGACAAUGGGCGCAAGCCUGAUCCAGCCAUCCCGCGUGGGUGAAGAAGGCCUUCGGGUUGUAAAGCCCUUUUGUUGGGAAAGAAAUCCAGCUGGCUAAUACCCGGUUGGGAUGACGGUACCCAAAGAAUAAGCACCGGCUAACUUCGUGCCAGCAGCCGCCGUAA
rnacentral:rRNA from 1 species